rnacentral:lncRNA from 1 species
CCUUCCUUUUGUAGUCAUUAACAUUGUGUUUAAAUUUCAUUGAUUUCUAUUUACUUAAACUAAAGUUAUUGUGCGAAAACCAAGAAUAAUGCUUAUUUGGGCCCUUUUUUGGCCCCUAAUUCCUAAACUGUUGAAACCUUAACUCCCAAAAUCAAUCCCAACCGUUCUUUUGUGGUCAUAAACCUUGUGUCAAAAUUUCAUAGAUUUCUAUUAACUUAAACUAAAGUUAUAGUGCGAAAACCAAGAAAAUGCUUAUCUGAGCCCUUUUUGGCCCCUAAUUCCUAAAAUGUUGGGACCAAAACUCCCAAAAUCAAUACCAACCUUCCUUUUG